rnacentral:rRNA from 1 species
UACAGAGGAGCCAAGCGUUGUCCGGAUUGACUGGGCGUAAAGCGCACGCAGGCGGAUGCGCGCGUGGGGUGUGAAAUCUGGCCGCUUAACGGCCAGGCGCCAUCCCAUACGGCGCGUCUGGAGUGAUGCAGAGGUCGGUGGAAUUGCCGGUGUAGUGGUGAAAUGCGUAGAUAUCGGGAGGAACACCAGUGGCGAAGGCGACUACCUGGCCUGUUCUUGACGCUGAGGCGCGAAAGCUAGGGGAGCAAACGGG